rnacentral:rRNA from 1 species
CGCAUACGGCCUACGGGAGAAAGCAGGGGACCUUCGGGCCUUGCGCUAUCAGAUGAGCCUAGGUCGGAUUAGCUAGUUGGUGAGGUAAUGGCUCACCAAGGCUACGAUCCGUAACUGGUCUGAGAGGAUGAUCAGUCACACUGGAACUGAGACACGGUCCAGACUCCUACGGGAGGCAGCAGUGGGGAAUAUUGGACAAUGGGCGAAAGCCUGAUCCAUCCAGGCGCGCGUGUGUGAAGAAGGUCUUCGGAUUGU